rnacentral:rRNA from 1 species
AUGGCCGCCAUCAUCGAGAAAAUCAUGGGCUGGUUGCCUGGCGGCGGAAAUGCCGUGGCAAGUGCUGUCUCCCUCUCUGCUGCCGCUGACUACGACGGCGAGGACCUCAUUAGCGCCCUCCCCGACGACCUCCUCCGCAACAUCGUCUCUCGCCUCCCCGUCAAGGACGCCGCCCGAACCGCCACCCUCGCCUCCCGGUGGCGCCACCUCUGGCGCUCCGACCCGCUCGUCCUCAACGACGUCAAUCUCCCCCCGUCUGCGGUGGCGCGCGUCCUCGCAGACCACCCGGGCCCUUUCCGCGCCAUCCACAUCGCCCGCUGCAGGUUCGCAUCCCACGAGCGUGAGCUCGCAGAGUGGUCGGGCCUCCUCGCCGCCAAGGGCAUCGAGGACCUUGUCCUCGUCAACGACGCCGACGUCGCCGAGCUCCCCACCACCGACAGUGUGCGCCUCCCCACGGACAUCCUCCGCUGCGCCUCACUCCAGCGCCUCUUCCUGGGAUUCUUUACGUUCCCGGACACCGCUGCUCUCUUCCGCAAAGCCAACGUCCUUCCCCGCCUCCAGGAGCUCGGCAUGUUCACUACCACCAUCAGCGGCUGGGACCUGCACUACAGACUCGCUUGCAGCCCGGUUCUGGAGAAGCUCGCGUUCGUAUUCAACUGUACGCCCGAUCUCGUCCACCUCCGCAGCAAAAGCCUCCGGUGCGUGCUCCUCUGGUUUUUCGCGGCAGAUGAGAUCGCGGUGGUGAACACCCCGCUCCUGGAGCAGCUCUUCUUACUCGAAGCGCCUCGCGGAGAUGACGACAGUACUGUGAUGAUCAAGAUUGCUUGUGCGCCCAACCUGCGGGUGCUCGGCUUCUUGGAGCCAAAAGUUCACCGCCUGCAGAUCGGCAACAAUGUCAUCGAGCCUGGCAUAAUGCCGAGCCCGAGCACAGUGCUUCCAAGUGUCAAGAAAUUGGCCUUUAAGGUUAAUUUUGGUGUCUCAAAGGAGGUCAAGAUGCUGGUGGCCUUCCUCAGAUGCUUUCCCAACAUUGACACGCUGCACAUCGAGUCUUUAACUGAACCCACUGGAAGAAACCAUGCCAAGUUCUGGCAGGAGCUCCCUACUGUUGAAUGCAUCAAGUCGCACGUCAAGAAGAUGGUUGUCCAUGAAUAUAGAGGGAAUCGAAGUGAACUUGAAUUCCUUAAGUUCAUUUCCAGUAAAGCGCAAGAGCUACAGACUUUGUAUGUCCUGCUAAACAGAGAGAGUCUUACUUCUCUGGCCAAGGAGACGGAGAUGAGAAGCAAAGUGGCGGCUCUCUCGGAGGUAGCAUGGAGCUGUGAUUGUAAGAUGAUGGUGCUAGACCCUGAAUUUCAGAAUGAUUGGAGCAUCCAGAAAGCAGCUGAUCUCACUGUUGACGACCCUUUUCACUGGUGA